AUUUGAGCCCUUAAGCUGGACAUAACCUUCUCCCAAAUGGAAGUUAUGUUCGCCACAUAGAUAAUUGUAAAAAUAGGCUCCAGUGUAUAUAGAAGUGCCACUUUGCUGAGCAGUUCCAAAAGAGGAUCUGUUCUUGUUCCAAUAAGUACCUCAAAAAAUCUUCCGGAAAGUAAAGGCAGGGAAAGAGAACAAGUGGUGCAGAUGACAAGAGAGAAAACAGAAGCAAGGAGCUUCAACUUGUGCCGAGAAACAAGUUUCCAUAUAAAGCCCCAACGGAUAACUUCAAUUGGCUGAACCGCGACUAAACUAUCAUCCGAUUCUUCAAAUUUAGGGUCGCUUUCUGAAACAAAAGCAUCAAAAGCAGGGCCUGUAAUAUAAGCCGAAGAUACGACGGACCGCUUCAGUUUCCGGCAAUUAACAAAUUGUGAACGAAAUGGUUGUGCUGUUGAGAUGGAGAACUGAGAAGGUCCAUUGGAACGGAGGAGUACCAGCCGGUGGUUGCGCCGGCGUUGUAUAGGGAAAGGGGUGAGGGGGAGACCCCAGAAGGUGUUGGGUACAGUAG
rnacentral:misc_RNA from 1 species